CGGCGUGCUUAACACAUGCAAGUCGAACGAGACGAUUUAGAAGCUUGCUUUUAUUGAGUCGAGUGGCAAACGGGUGAGUAACGCGUAGACAACCUGCCGCAAAGAUGGGGACAACAGUCCGAAAGGACUGCUAAUACCGAAUGUUGUAUCUCCUCCGCAUGGAAGAGAUAUUAAAGAUGGCCUCUACUUGUAAGCUAUCGCUUUGCGAUGGGUCUGCGUCUGAUUAGCUAGUUGGUGGGGCAACGGCCUACCAAGGCGACGAUCAGUAGCCGGUCUGAGAGGAUGAACGGCCACAUUGGAACUGAGACACGGUCCAGACUCCUACGGGAGGCAGCAGUGGGGAAUCUUCCGCAAUGGGCGAAAGCCUGACGGAGCAACGCCGCGUGAGUGAAGAAGGUCUUCGGAUCGUAAAGCUCUGUUGUCGGGGACGAAUGUUGAGACCAAGAACAUAGGUUUCAAAUGACGGUACCUGACGAGGAAGCCACGGCUAACUACGUG
rnacentral:rRNA from 1 species